UUUUAUUCUGACAAAUGGAUUUGUCAACCCCAACAGAGGGUUUUCCUCAUUUCCUCACUUGAAACUAUUCAAAAAUUAAGGCAGCUGCUGAGUUCCACUGAGGCCAAUACCCAGGUAAAAAAGGAAGCUCCCAGGCCUAAUGAGCUAUUUCCUAGCACAGAUUCAAACAAAGUAAAAUAAAUUUUAUUGUUCCACAAUACAGGAAAUUCUGAUUUUUGCCUUGUACUGUAAUUUUUUCAGCCUAUUAGAAAAACAGAUGUUAGUGAACCAAAAAUACAACCCUGAAAAACUUUUUCUAAAAGAACCUUUUAAAAUAAAGUUUAAAGGAUUUUAAACAUGUUACAUAAGAGCUCACUGAUUAGUAACUACUUUCUAGUAGAAUGUUUUCUGCUUGGGUCUUAAAAAUUUAUAUAACUAAUUCUGAUUAAAAGCAAGAUAGAAUGCGAGUCAUAGGAGUUGUUUCAAUUUUUAUUUUCAGUACCUUUAUGCGAACUUCAUGUUCUUUUGGUGGGGCAACUUCCACUUCCUCAAUACUGAAUGGUUUAUUGGCUUCCCACAGCACUGCUGCCUUGCAUUUAAUAACCUGCAAACAGAGCAAAGAAAAUGGGAAUGGCACUUGCAUUUUCAAGUUACCACACAGAUUCUUCCCUUUCUGCAUGUGAAACUCCUGCUCAUAUUUGUGGAGACAAGAGGAAAACUACAGGGAAUAAAACCAAACAACAAAAAACUCAACACCAAAGACAGAGCAUGUUUGGAUGAAUCAUUGGCGUCUCCCAAAGGAACAGCCCCUUUCCUCUGUGGCAGGACACUGAAAAAGGCCUCCUUCCAGUCUCUCUUCUCCAGGUAUGCAAGGAUGAUCUCAAACACUGCAACAUCAGAAAAGCCCAUCAGGUCUUUUACAGGGAGAGCAGAGCUGAUGAAAAGCAGGCAGGAACAGACACUGCAAUUCUGCCACUACUGCAGCCUGAAGCCAAGCACACUCCGAGUCUCCAGCUGCAUGACAGCAUUUCUCUCAGGGACUGAGACAAAUACUUCAGUCUUACCAGUGCCUUCUGUACAGGCACCGAUGCUUUCACAUGUUUGGCAGGAAUCCUGCUCUGAAUGCACUUUAAUAAAGGUUUUGACCUCUGCUAUAAUUAGCUCUUCCUUUCUAUAUAAAGCAACAGUGAAAGAUCCAAUUUUAGAAACAUGUAACAUCUUACAAAUACAUAAGGUUUGAUAAUUUUUAAGUCCCGUGCCAUACUAUAUUUUCCUCCGUGCUUAAAUAAUCUUUAUUAUCAUGCAAAUGCCAGCCUCAUUAAUAUGGCACUUUCAGAAAAUACAGUUAUCAUUGAGCAAUGUGUUACAUUAAAAAAUAAACUUGAAAUAAAGCAAGGUAAGAUAAGCUAAAGAAUGUGCAGUGGGGCACAAUAAAGACUUUGAGACCAUGUCAAAAAUUUCCAUGAAGGUUUGAGUAGGCUCCAUUUUGCUUUGUAUUUUUGUAUAAUGACGCUGAAAGACAAUCUAAUAAUAAAGCUAAAAGUUUUAAAGGAGCAGGAUUCAAGGCUUGGUUAAGCACUUGAAUACUUCAAUCAGAACCAGGAAAUCAGGUAAAAAUACAGUUAUGAAAGUUCAGUAGUUGGAGUACUGCUGAUACCAACUGAGGAAAAGUCUACAGGUACUGAGGCAGUUACUGCUGACUGAAGCUGUUGAAAGAGGUGAAAACAUCACAAACAUUCAUCCUCCCUUGGCAUAAAAUGUGUACCCUACAAUCAAAUACAAAGUUGGAUAGUUUCCAACAUUUCACUCACUUAUACAGUAAACCUGGAAACAAGAGCAGGAUGGUAGUAAAGCCACAAGUAAUCCUCAGACAAGCCACCAGGAUACAAUGUGCACUUCUAAAUGGCUAAGACACCGUCAUUUACAUUUAACCAUAUCUAUAAUAUUUAACGGUCAGGACAAUUAGUGUAUUCUGAAGGCAACUAAAUUCAACAAAUAUCAACAUAAUAAAACAAGGUUUAGGCAUCUGCACUGCAGUGCAGAGGGUUCGAAUGGUGACUAUUACAGGUAUAUUCUAAAAUAAUGUAAUUAUUUUAUGAUUUAGAACUUACCAUGAUU